rnacentral:misc_RNA from 1 species
CCCGCAUCGUGCUACCUUGGAAUGACUAUCACGUUUCCAACCGGUCCUGCAUGGCCCUGCGCGCCUAUCCCCUGCCCAUAAAUGGCUGACCUACAGUCCCAAGCCCCUGUCGGACGGCUGCUGACGCGUNAGAAAUUCUUCGCGCGCAGCGUCCAUGACGUGGCACCCGACCUGAUCGGCGCAACGCUGCUGGUGGACGGCGUCGGCGGAAUCAUUGUCGAGGUCGAGGCUUACCACCACACUGAGCCU